GCAUCAUUGGUCUAGUGGUAGAAUACAACGUUGCCAUCGUUGUGACCCGAGUUCGAUUCUCGGAUGAUUGUU
rnacentral:tRNA from 1 species